UGAUUUGUAACGUGGCAACUUAUAGUAGUGCCGGCUUAAAACUAAAUGAAUUCAUUCUAACCUAAAGCUACGCUACUCUAAACAUACAUGCAAGAUAUAUGUACGAUCACAGAAGAUAGCAUAGACAGCGCCAAGCAUCGAUUUUUAUCAUUG